rnacentral:rRNA from 1 species
AAUAGAGACUCAGAGCUGCAUAUCAAUAAGCGGAGGAAAAGAAACUAACAAGGAUUCCCUUAGUAACGGCGAGUGAAGCGGGAAGAGCUCAAAUUUGAAAUCUACAAGGUUUUACCUUGACGAAUUGUAGUUUAAAGAAGUGUUUUCUGUUGAAGUUUUGGUAAAAGUUCUUUGGAAUAGGACAUCAUAGAGGGUGAGAAUCCCGUAUUUGACCAUUAUUUUCAGCUGUGUGAUACACUUUCAAAGAGUCGGAUUGUUUGGGAAUGCAGUCCAAAAUGGGUGGUAAAUUUCAUCUAAAGCUAAAUAUUGGCGAGAGACCGAUAGCGAACAAGUACCGUGAGGGAAAGAUGAAAAGAACUUUGAAAAGAGAGUUAAACAGUACGUGAAAUUGUCAAAAGGGAAGCGUUUGACACCAGUGUUGUUUUUCCGAAAAUCAAUUACGAAUGGCUUGAUUUUGUGUUGUAUUGACCUUAUCAGCUUUCUGCACUCUUUUCGAGUCUUUCUUAAUGCACUUUUUGGUUAACAAGUCAACAUCAAUUUCUUUUGUUGUAAAAGAGGUCAUUCGGAAGGUGGCUUUCUCUUCGGAGAAAGUGUUUAUAGCCCUUAUACUUCUACAAUCGGAGAGACUGAGGUCUGCAGCGUAGAUCCUUCGGGGUUAGAUACAUUUGUGCUAAGCUACAGCUUUUCAUAGACAACUUGUUGACUAUGUUUAGUCAUGCGGCUUACUCGCUUAUGCUAUUUUACCUACGCUUAGGAUGUUGACGAUCAGCUGAGCGCG